CUGUUCGAGCGUCAUUACACCACUCAAGCCUCGCUUGGUAUUGGGCGCCGCGGUCCGCCGCGCGCCUCAAUGACCCCGGCUGGGUCCUCCGUCCCUCAGCGUUGUGCAAUCAAUCCGCUGGUAAGGGUACGGGUGGCGCACGCCGUUAAACCUCACACAAGGUUGACCUCGGAUCAGGUAGGGAUACCCGCUGAACUUAA
rnacentral:misc_RNA from 1 species